GCACUGCCUAGCUCAGGACAGUAUGUUUUCUGGCAGGGCUUGGAUAUGCCAAAAAGAUGAGCAUACAAAUGUUUUGGCAAGGACUUCUGAAUAUCAGUCUGUUUCACAGGCUAUGUCACAAUGCCAAGUUGUACGAUUUCUUCGAAAAUAAAAUCAGGAGUGUAUUGGAAGUUAAUACACUUCUGAUGCUGCAGGACUUUCUAAAGUCCUGGAUUUUUCAAAAUCACUGGGUGACAAUCUUCCUUAUACUUUUCCUACUAGUUACUUUUGGGUUAAUAUUCCUAAACAUUCGUACAUCCUUUCACAAGGAGACUGUGCAGCUGAAAAAGGGACCUUCACGUACGUGUUCCCAGAAGAGUGAAGAUAGUCACCAGAAAAGGAUAAAAUUUGCUGUGAAGAAUUGUAGAGAUGACGAUCACUUAUCUUCGGAACAUAGAAGCACAGCCAGCCCCCGAAAUGAGCAAAGUGCACAGCACCAGAGACCCAGUGAGUGGGAUACGUUCUUGCUGUGGAAGGAGAGGAAAGACGGGCUGAGCAGAAAGAAGGAGGGGCAGGUGAGCUAGUGAGAGUGAGACUCAGGACUGAAUGGCACAAAGGAUGAGACCAGUGUUUGGCAUCUGGAAAUCAGGGGCACCGAGCUGGCCAGGCAUGGCCUUAGGGAGCAAAGCCACCUUUUGCUUUUACAUUGCAUUUAGGGAAUGGCUGUAGGGUCGACCUCACUCAUAGAAGCUGGUCCUUGGGACAAUUUGCCACCAGUGACCUGACUUUCAAAGCUUGAAUCUGUCACUCAUCAGAAGCAGUUAUCACUGAUAGUUAAAAGAGUUUAGAAGGAGAUUUGGUGUGUGUUAUUAUGACUAUUGGACUACUGUGAUUGCUUUACAUGUCCUGGUACUUCUUUCUAUGGCUAUACAACUGUCAGUCUUUCAGAGCAUUAAGAUGUUCCCUUUCAAAUCUCAAAGGCCAGAAGCCAAAAGACAUUUCAUGACUGCAUAGACAUACCUAAUAUUUAAUUAGGACCUGUUUGCUUUGCUAUAAGCGAUUCCUUUCUGUUUCUGCCCUCAAACCUUUAUUAAAGAUAGCCACAUUUGUGAGUGGUUUAUGUUUGAAGGAGUUUUUUUUCUCCUCCUUGAAACUGAGUAAAAGGGUGGUUUUGAUGCCUUUGUCAGCUGGUUGUAGAUGAAGGUUAGCAAGCAGAAGUCUAGUGGUGGAGAUGACCAUUCAGCACUAUUUACCUAGAGCCUGCACUGUGCCAGGCAGUAUUCUGGCCUCUUUUGAGAUACAUGAGUGAGAUAC
rnacentral:lncRNA from 1 species